rnacentral:rRNA from 1 species
AUUGAACGCUGGCGGCAGGCCUAACACAUGCAAGUCGAGCGAGCGGCGGACGGGUGAGUAAUGUCUGGGAAACUGCCUGAUGGAGGGGGAUAACUACUGUAAACGGUAGCUAAUACCGCAUACCAUAAGAUGUGCCCAUAUGGGAUGAGCUUGUAGGUGGGGUAACGGCUCACCUAGGCGACGAUCCCUAGCUGUUCUGAGAGGAUGACCAGACACACUGGAACUGAGACACGGUCCAGACUCCUACGGGAGGCCGCAGUGGGGAAUAUUGCACAAUGGGCGCAAGCCUGAUGCAGCCAUUCCGGGUGUGGGAAGAAGGCUUUCGGGUUGUAAAGCACUUUCAGCGGGGAGGCGUUACCCGCAGAAGAAGCACCGGCUAACUCCGUGCCAGCAGCCGCGGUAAUAC